rnacentral:rRNA from 1 species
GAUGAACGCUGGCGGCGUGCCUAAUACAUGCAAGUCGAGCGAACAGACGAGGAGCUUGCUCCUCUGACGUUAGCGGCGGACGGGUGAGUAACACGUGGAUAACCUACCUAUAAGACUGGGAUAACUUCGGGAAACCGGAGCUAAUACCGGAUAAUAUAUUGAACCGCAUGGUUCAAUAGUGAAAGACGGUUUUGCUGUCACUUAUAGAUGGAUCCGCGCCGCAUUAGCUAGUUGGUAAGGUAACGGCUUACCAAGGCAACGAUGCGUAGCCGACCUGAGAGGAUGAUCGGCCACACUGGAACUGAGACACGGUCCAGACUCCUACGGGAGGCAGCAGUAGGGAAUCUUCCGCAAUGGGCGAAAGCCUGACGGAGCAACGCCGCGUGAGUGAUGAAGGUCUUCGGAUCGUAAAACUCUGUUAUUAGGGAAGAACAAAUGUGUAAGUAACUUUGCACGUCUUGACGGUACCUAAUCAGAAAGCCACGGCUAACUACGUG